CUCCCCCCCCCCCGGCGUGUCCCCGCCCUCCGGCGCGUGAAGGGCCGGGCCGGGCGCGCGCCCCCGCCAGUGCGCCUCGCGCUCGCUAACGGCCGGGAGGCGGAGGAGCGGCGGGAGGAGGAGGAGGACGACGACGACGAGGAGGAGGAGGAGGAGGAGGAGCGGUGGGUCUGGCCCGUCUCGUCCCGUCCCGUCCCGUCCCGUCCCGUCCCGUCCCGUCCCGUCCCGUCCCGUCUCGUCCCGUCCCGUCCCGUCCCGUCCCGUCUCGUCUCGUCCCGUCCCGUCCCGUCCCGUCCCGUCCCGUCCCGUCCCGUCCCCCGAGGAGGCCGGGCUCGGUGGGGCCGGGGUGAGUGUCGGGCCGGGGCUCCCGCAGCGGGAUCCGGGGCGGCCUGGCGGCUUCCGGCGGGCGGCGCCGGGCCGGGGCCCCGAGGCGCCCUCGCCGAAACUCCGUUCGCUCCGUCCGCCCGUCCUGCGUCCGGCCCGCCAUUCCGUCGUCCUCCCCGCCGCGCUCACUCUGUGCGGAGCCCAGCUGCGCGGAGCCCUUGGAAAGUCCCGCUCGGCGACAAAGAGAGGCGGCCCCGGCCGUCGCGGGCUCACCGCCUCCGCUCCUUCCGAGGCGGGGACCGGUCAUCAUCAGCCUGAUCCACAGAGGACUAGUUUCCUGACGCUCGUUUUUGCCCAGGCCCUCCAAUUGCUCCCCAACCAGGUACCUCCAGAAAUCGCCCUCGCCGGCCCCGAUCCCUCCCCUCCGUAAUAUAUUACGUGGCCUCUCGCCUCCCGCUGCCAACUCACGCUCAACGUGUCUAGACCGUAGUCAGCUUCCCGUGGGAAGGGAAACGUGCCCACCGACUUGGCCGUACCGUACUCUCGCAAGCGCCGAGGACUACGGCGCGUUCUUUGAGCGCACGGGGAGUCGCUCAAGAAAGAGAGGUCGUUGACCCACCUCAGUGGCCCCUUGGGAGUUGACAAUACCACCCUCCCUGCUGUCCCUCGGGCCCUGUACUUUGGCAUUACUGCGGGCCCCUUUCUCCAGAUCCCGUCAUUCCGUAGCACUUGGGCCUCCUCCCCCGGGGUGGGACGGGGAACGAGCCGGCCGCGUGCGGAGCUGGGGGUCGGCGGUUCGCGGUGGUCCGGGGGGGUGCCGGGAGCGGAGAGGGGUGGGGAAGAUCUCGGUGCAAUCCCGCCACCUCCGGGAUGGCUUGGAGCGACCGCCCCUCUACCGCUUGGUCGACACCCUCCCUAUCCCUCUUGCGUCCGGACAUCUACACUACUGCUUCCUCUUACGUGUAGAUGAUUUUAGUGCCUGGCUUCCCUGUGGCACUGUAAGAUUCUUGAGGGCAGGGGUCGUGUCUCCCAGCUCCGUUGUUCUCGCCCAAGUCCUUAGCCCAGCUCUCUGCAAGCCCUCGAUAAAGGCUGUGGAUUUCUUUGGGUCACGGUGUGAGGCACGGAGAGCUGGGCGGGGGGGGGGUGUCAUGCCACGGCGGGGAGGUUCAGCCCAGGAGAUCUGAGGGGGUGUGGUGAUGGUGACCCGUUGAAGAAAUGACCUUCCCAGACUGUCCUUUAAAACUCAGAGAAACUUUUAGUAUUUAAUCCUGUGUGAAGGAGAGGAAGAGGCAGUAAAAUCUAGGGGAAAAGGGCUUGGGUCUUGGGAGUCGGGUUCUGGAUUACGGAUUUUAAUCCCAGUCUUGCUUUCGCCGCCGUGUGAUCUGAGGCGAGUCACGUCGCCUCUCUCUGUCCCGGGCCCCUCUCUGAAGCGAAGAGAGUAAUUCCUGCCUCUCCCUUCUCGGAGAGGGGGCGAAGAUGGGUCCUGCCCUCAAGGACCUUAGACCGCAACAGAGUGAGACAUAUUCACAGAUGUAAAGUAAGCAAAAUAAAUAAUUGAACGUACAGGCAGUUGAAUGAUUCUCUUUAUAAGCGCGAGGGAUGGGAAUAGCUGCCGCAUGUGGGACGGGGAUCGUGUCCGCCCUGAUUAGCUUCUAUCUCCCCCAGUGUUUAGUACAGUGCUUGGCACGUAGUGAGUGCCCAACACAUUUCACAGGUAUUAUCUGAGUGCUAGGGAUGGGUAAAGGGACGAUUCAAUUGGGGGUGCAGGG
rnacentral:lncRNA from 1 species